UAAGCAGGUCAAGUGGUCGCGGGCACGGUCCGGCCGUCAAGGUUGGCCGCGCCUGAGGAAAGUCCGGGCUCCAUAGGGCAGGGUGCUGGGUAACGCCCAGCGAAGGUGACUUCAGGGAAAGUGCCACAGAAACAUACCGCCCUGGGAGCCGUAGGUUCCGCGCCAUGAGGCAUGCCCAGCCUCGGAGCCACAAUGGAACCGGCGGUGAACAGGGUAAGGGUGAAAAGGUGGUGUAAGAGACCACCGGCAGUCGGGUGACCGGCUGGCCAGGUAAACCCCACCCGGAGCAAGACCAAAUAGGAGGGCCAUGACGCUGCCCGCCGAGCCCUCGGGUAUGGUCGCUGGAGGAGAAGGGUGACCUUCUUCCAAGAUGGAUGACCACUCUUGACAGAACCCGGCUUAUAGGCCUGCUUACCAA
rnacentral:RNase_P_RNA from 1 species